GACGAACGCUGGCGGCGUGCUUAACACAUGCAAGUCGAGCGGUAAGGCCCUCGGGUACGACGAGCGGCGAACGGGUGAGUAACACGUGGGUGACCUGCCUCUAGCUCUGGGAGUAAGCCUGGGAAACGUGGGUCUAAUACCGGAUAUGACUCCACGGCGCAUGUUGUGGGUGGAAAGCCUUGUGUGGCUAGAGAUGGGCCCGCGGCCUAUCAGCUUGUUGGUGGGGUGANGGUCCUACCAAGGCGACGACGGGUAGCCGGCCUGAGAGGGCGACCGGCCACACUGGGACUGAGACACGGCCCAGACUCCUAC
rnacentral:rRNA from 1 species